UCCAGGUACCCAUGGAUAAGUAGCCUGUUU
rnacentral:piRNA from 1 species